CCUACGGGAGGCAGCAGUGGGGAAUAUUGCACAAUGGGGGAAACCCUGAUGCAGCGACGCCGCGUGAGGGAAGAAGUAUUUCCGUAUGUAAAGCUCUAUCAGCAGGGAAGAAGCAAGACGGUACCUGACUACGACGCCCCGGCUAACUACGUGCCAGCAGCCGCGGCAAUACGUAGGGGGCAAGCGUUAUCCGGAUUUACGGGGGUGAAAGGGAGCGUAGACGGUAUGGCAAGUCUGAAGUGAAAGCCCAGGGCUUAACCCUGGGACUGCUUUGGAAACUGUUAGACUAGAGUGGUGGAGGGGGAAGUGGAAUUCCUGGUGUAGCGGUGAAAUGCGUAGAUAUCAGGAGGAACACCAGUGGCGAAGGCGGCUUACUGGACAGUAACUGACGUUGAGGCUCGAAAGCGUGGGGAGCGAACAGGAUUAGAUACCCCAGUAGUC
rnacentral:rRNA from 1 species